GGGCUCAUAGCUCAGUUGGUUAGAGCGUUCCGCUGAUAACGGAGAGGUCGAUGGUUCGACUCCAUCUGGGCCCA
rnacentral:tRNA from 1 species